UCACCUCAAUAACUCGCCGUUUUGCUCCAGAGCAGCAGGGUUUCGCUUGGCUCCAAGCAAACAAGACACGGCCAUAUCAUCUGCUGUUUGUUAAAUACAAAGCUGAGAUUUUCCCUUUUUUUCUGUCCCUUUUCUAGGUUAGCUUUGCCUGGGCUCUUCAUCCUGAUGCAGCUCCAUGGGCAGCCCCAGCCAGGUGGGAAUGCACCAAGAUCAAGCGGAGGUUUUCCUGCCUGGCAUGGGGGGAGUGUGCAGAAGACCCAUGAAGCGCUGGUGUGGCCCUGCUGAGCUUUGCAGGUGCUGGGAGCAGACCCAGGAUGGUCAGGUUGUGAGUAUAACACUUCUCUGCAGCAAUAAAUCCAGCGUGUGCAUUCAGAACUGAUGCACUUUUCUAUCUCAAAAAUCCUAAUCAGUUUUUAUCGGUGGCAUCACGCUUCUCUGUGUGAGAGCUGCUCCACUAUCUGCUGGAGGAGUGCUACAGUGCAGUAAAAGAUACCGGGACAUUUUCAAAGCUGUGUUUGGCUGCUCCUCUCCCCCUUGGAAGCUCCGUUCCCAGUGGGUUGUUGCCUGCAGCUGCUGUCCACAGGCACUGUGACACAGAGCCAGGCACAGAUCAGGCACAGAUCUGCUCCCUUCAGAACAUUCCCAGCUUUCAGCCAAGCUCUGUGAAGGCAAUUCCCAGGAGCAGGCACUGGCUGAGACCUGCAGCAGCUGUCCCUGUUCUCACUGUAACUCUCCAAAACUUCUCUCCUCACGAGGGUUUUUUCUUGUGCCCUGGGUGGCAAUUAAAUUGUGAUCAAUCAGUGUCAAAUAAAAGUCAUCGGAAUAUGGCUGUGAGGCUGAUUGCCUGUAACCAGCGUAAUUAGACAGCGAGGAUUUUCUUCAUUUUCUCUUUCUGCAAGAGGGCUAAAAGCCUCUGAGAUUGGAGCUCCUGUGUCUGCAGCAAGGUGAAUUCACAUCUGACCUAUUGUUCAAACACGAAUUCUCCUCAAAUCCAACCAAAGACCUCUCCAAAGAACAGAAGAGAGAGAGAUAAUCCCUGAAAUUUAUUGCCAUUUUAGGAUGUGUGGUAAGGUUGAUUUCAGGGAUGAUGGGCAGGAGAGCAGGUCUAGGUCUCAUCAACCCUGGUGUGAUGCUGGCACUGCUGUCCCCAGCCUGGGUGUCCCCAGUGUCUCAUAUCAUAGCCCUCUUCUUUGCCUCUCCAGUGACUCUGUACUGAUUUCCUCAGGCUGACAAAAGUCGGCUGUUUCCAUAUUCCCUGUCACUGCUGAUCUGUCCCUUCUCACUCUCCAAAUCCUCUUUCCAUUUCUAUCAGCAUUAAUGAACUGCUGCUGUCCCCUAGCGCCGCCAUCCCCUCACCCACCCAGAACUGUUUCAUGUUCCAGUCAGCUUCACCAGCUCCUCGGCAUCUCCCCAAAAAGUCCUUGGCAUCAACAAAAGGCCCCUGGCAUUACCUGCCACGGGGCCCUGCCUGUGCCAAGCACCACCAGGCUGCCACAGCCCAUGCACUGAGAUACUUUCCUAAGCGCUGGAUAAUUAAAAAAAAGGCAGCAAAUGGAAGUAAUUCCCACUUAGGAGGAAGGACCCGCUGGAAUUCACACUGGGAAGGAGGAUUCAACAGCUGUGCAUUAGCAUAAUGUGGAAAUGGCAUGGAGAGCAGAGCUGAGCAGGGCUGCCCCCCUCUGCCUCAGGUUUCCCUGCUAGAGGGGAAGGCAGGAGUGAGCCCAGGAAAGGGGGGUGGCUGGGAACCCCCUCAAACGAGAGCCAACCUUUCUCCCAGGACUCUUCAGUUCAGCAUGUGCCAGGAGAGGUUUCCUUUGGAAAGGUGAGUGGGAUGUGGGAGCCCUUCCUGGGGCUGAUUUACAACACAUCAGCAAUGACCCUGUUGACACUUCCCAUGGAAGGAAGCGAUUGCCUGCUCCAAGUCCUCCACUGGAGCAUGGCACAAGGAGUCUGAGCCCCCACUGCUGCCACCCCCCUGACAGCUGCUGACAUUUCUCCUUGGGCUCUGGCAUUUAUUUUGAUCCAUCUUGGGUUUGCACUUCUCUCUCAGGAUUAGCAGGCAAAUCAGCAAGAUGUUGAUAUAGAAAGGUAAACUCACCCAAAACCAGAGCCCUUGCAUCAGCCACAGCCCGUGGAGCGAGAGGGCAACUGAGGCAGCUUCAGCAUCCCAUGGGAGGGAUAGGAAGCCCAAAACUCCUGUGGGGCAGCUUUCUGUGCCCUCUGAGUGCAGGCAGAAGUCAGCAUGCCUGGCACUGACUUACCCUGAGAUGGCAUCGCUGGGCUCAGGGCUGCCUGGUGCCCUGUGUCCAUCGCUGCCUGGCACCGCAGGGGAGACAGACAGAUGGACAGACAGACAGACAGACCGCUCUGCAUCGCUCCCAGGGCACCACGUGGGAGAUGGACAGAUGGACAGACAGACCGCACUGCGUCGCUCUGCGGGCAUCACCUGGGGGACAGAUGGACGGGCAGACCCCUGUGUGUCAGAGCGGCUGGACAGACAGACAGACAGACAGCCGCUCGCUGUCCAGCAUCCCCCCGGCCGCACAUCGUUUGCCCACAGGCUCCAUCUUGUGGAAGAUGCUCCCUCGAGGAGCUGAAGUGGGAAGCCACCCCCGGUGUGCGUGGGUCCACUUGGCACUGCCAGCGUGGGAGUCCUCACGGGGUGGCUGUGCUGGCACCGCUGGCACCCGGACUAACCCGCUCUGCCUCCCUGCGCUUAACACCACGUUCCGCCCCUGUGCAGCUAAUGAGAGGAGCAAAUGUGGUGGAAUUUAUUUUAACAGAUGGAGGACAAUUUUCUUCUCAUCAUUUAUCCGACGCACCGCGCCGUACCAGCUUGCAGAGCCUCGGGCUGGGAUGUGGAGCCACCACAGCUCUGCUGACAGCGUCACCGCCAGCUCCCACCAUCCUGGCAGAGCAGCCUUUCCCUGUUGUACCUCUCAGCUGUGGGAUAAAACCAGGUGGUUUUCAGGCUGCCGGAUGCGCUGCCUUCCUCAGGUUUAUUUACCAUAGAAUGUGACACAGUGGUUUCACUGUGUGUGAUUUAAUGAGACGUUAGGAUGGAAUUAAUCAUGGGAAUCAGAGCUCGUGUUGAGUGUUUGGCCACGGUCUGGCAGAAGAAGCCUCACUCCCAGCCCUCAUUCCCUGACCCAGGGUGGUGCAGACCCUUGGUGCAGCAGGUGGAAGCUCUGUCAGCACCAUCACUGCCAGCUUUCUGUCCCCAAGGGGCCCUUGGCAAUCCUGCAGUUCCCCCUAGGCUGGGGACACAGCUGGAGGGACACGGUUGGAGGCUGACGCUUGUAGGAAAAUAAGACACGCAAAACUCUCAAGAGCACAUCCAAUUUCCACUCAUUAAGCCAUAAUUUCCAUCAUUUUAAUUACAUAAAAGGCAGAUAAAUGGCAAGUAUGCUCCUACUUGUGCCUUUUCUCCUAAUUAUUGGUCCUUUGCACGGGCCAGUUUGCAAUGAAUCAGCCUUUAAGCGGCGUUCACUCGGAACAUGCUCGGCUUUAUUUGAAUUAUCUUGUUGGAUGAUCAUUCCCCAGAACAUAAUAAAACAAACA